GGCUUGGUGGUGGACGGUCCACGCCUGUGUUUUAUGCACGUAACCUGGAUGUAUAUGACAGCAGGAGGCGCCCGUUCGACUCGGGCCCGAGUCA